CCUACGGGCGGCUGCAGUGAGGAAUAUUGGUCAAUGGGCGCGAGCCUGAACCAGCCAAGUCGCGUGAGGGAGGACGGCCCUACGGGUUGUAAACCUCUUUUGCCGGGGAGCAACGGGCGCCACGUGUGGCGUCCCUGAGAGUACCCGGAGAAAAAGCAUCGGCUAACUCCGUGCCAGCAGCCGCGGUAAUACGGAGGAUGCGAGCGUUAUCCGGAUUUAUUGGGUUUAAAGGGUGCGUAGGCGGAUCGUUAAGUCAAGGGUGAAAUCCCCGCGCUCAACGUGGGAACUGCCUUUGAAACUGGCAAACUGGAGUGUGUGAGAGGAUAGUGGAAUUCCAGGUGUAGGAGUGAAAUCCGUAGAUAUCUGGAGGAACAUCAGUGGCGAAGGCGACUAUCUGGCACAUAACUGACGCUGAGGAGCGAAAGCGUGGGUAGCAAACAGGAUUAGAUACCCCAGUAGUC
rnacentral:rRNA from 1 species